AUGUUCCACCUGGAGUAAAAAAUCUUGGAUUUAACUUUCUUUUUAUCACCGAUUGUGGUUUUAAGAAUCAUGAUCGACAUCAAGAGAAUCAAAAGGUGGAUCACCAGGUGAAUGAAAAGAUCAAUAGCUUGGCUUAUGGACUUUGACGCACAAAUGUACCUCUCUUUUGUCUCUUCUUCUACCCACGAACUGAUGGAGACGCGGAAACUCGAAUGGCGAACACCGUGCUGCGGAACAAUCGAUCGCAACUAAAGUUGCCAUUUGCAAUAUUCUUUAUUUGCGCCCACGUUACAGGUACUUUGUGUGGGUUGGAGAGAGAAAAAAAAAUUAGCUAAGGAAGAGGAGAAAGAGUAAAUCUGGGGAGAGAAGGAAAAAGAAACCGGUAGUGAGAUGUCAAACAAAUGUAAAUGACACGUAGAAAUACAUGAAGAGACUUUGAUCGAUCUGCUGAUAUCAUAUGGAACACUGAACCAACAAUUGAGAGGAUAAUUGAAGUGCACUAUUAAAAGUCAAACAGUUGUCAAGCCGUUAAAUCAUUUUAUUCCAAGAAGUGUUGAGGAACAAUGCGAGGAAAAUUAGUAAUCAAGGCUGUCAUGAGAAAUCAGGUCUCCAGCGAGUGUCACGUGGCAAUUAACGACAGUUGGUGUUAUUUACAACCAAUUGAAAAAAAAGAAAGCAUUUAUGGUAAUUGAAUUACCAUUAAUAAUGCCGACGGAAUUUUAUUCGAGAAAUCAGAAGCAGUAAAAAAAGCUAUACGUUGGGAUUAGAAGAAAAAUGUUAAUUUUAUCGGGUAAUGUAUUUAUAUAGAUAUAUUUGUAUAUAUGUAUCGGAAAUAGUUAAGCUCCUAACACUUGGAAUAAAACACGUGUGACUGAUACCUCCAGCCAAGUUGAUUCCACGCACGCGGUUCGUUUCCUUGACGAGUUAGCAUCAUGUACGCGCUGAGCGACUUAAAUGAGCACAUUUUCUCCUAUAAUUCUCUCACUAAUAUGGAAAGGGCUCUACAUGGUAAUAUGUCAGUAUGUUUUCAAUAAAAAAUUUGAAACAUUCAUUUAAUUUCCAGACUCUUUAGGUUAAUAUGGAUUUUUUAUCAUCAAUGAUGAGUAAAUCAUCACAUUUCUAUUUUAUAAAGUGA